UUCUCCUCUUCGUUGUUCUCCUCGCGAGAGGCGGCGGCCGCGUCUCCGCCUCGCUCUCCUCCUCAGUCCCCGCCUCUUCCGCCCCACCCAAUGGCCUCACCCGACUUCCUCCCCAAAUCCUCUCCCUCGUUCGUGCUCCCCAAUCCCCUCCCACAUCUCUCUUUCACCAAUCCACUGCCUCUCCACUCCGUGGCAGAGAUCGUGUUCGUCCGCGGCCGUGGCCGGGAGGAAGCACAGGUCGUUGCUCACAACCUCGCAUCGUCGCCAUGGAUGGCAGAUCCACAUGUGGCUGCUGCUUGGCAGCUUCCUGGUCUUCUCCGCCAGGUCAGCGGACGAGUAGGCGGAGGUGGAAGCACUCUUAUGGCUUCUGCUGCAGAGACCACAACGUGGUGAGCACAGAGGAGUAGCAGCGGGGUACCAUCGCGCCUCUCCUGACCUGGGCAGUCGCCGUCAUCCACGAGCUGCUCGACAUGGAGUCUGCCGCCGGUGAGAAGAUGGGCUUCUGUGGCGUCGGCUCCAAAGCGGGGCAAUUUGAGGGACAUGGAGGAUAGGAAGCACAUGGCUCUCCAACUCCGACCAGAAGCUGCAGUAUUACUUUGGCCGGCAGAUUGGUUGCCGUAUGCUCGGAAGCAGGGUGUAUUUAUUUGUGCCAGAAGGUAGCAUACGAGUCUGCAAAGAAAUUCAGUGCUAUACCUCUACACAAUACAACAAUUCAGGUUUACUGGUUUACUGAACUGCAGCUUCCUUUUUCAUACACCUCUGUACUCAUCUUUGUUCCAAAAGUUUGCGCGAUGGUUUGAACUCUAAAAUUACAGUGCUACAUACCAAUUGAAUGCUGUAUCACUCGUAUGCUUGCUCCUUGCAAUUUGUCAGGGGAUAAAAUUCUGGCUGUACAUGAUCAAAGGUUUGUCCUAAGAUUUAUGUUGUAUUUCCUCCUUUAUCUUUUCUUUGGAUUGUGUGAGCAUCUUUCUUUUAGGAAUUUUUUUCUGCAAAACAACUUUCAAAAGUCACUCUGGCAAGUAUGUGUCAUUCAAGUUGCAUCACUCUGUCCCUUUGGCAUCUAAGAGCAUGAAGAUAUCUAAACACUGGAACACAUCUGACAUGAUAAACAAAAGAUGCAGAUUCAAGGGACCAAUUUGUUCAAUUUCACGAAUCACGAAGUAGGCUUGGUAUUUGGCCUUUUUUUUAUCGGUAUCUGUUAGAUUUUUAUCCCUGUGUCUCUUUGGCACCUCCUAGGACAAGUAUUUUCCCUGACAAGUAACUGUAUAGAAGGUUCAAUUGGUUUAGAACCAUGGAUUAUUUAAACGCCAGCCUUUAGAUCAGUAGUUUUAUUUACUUGUAUUUGAUGAUUAUUCUUUAUAAAAACCACAUAUGUUUGUUAACAUUUCAGGCUAUGGUCUUGAGGAAAGAUGAAAAGAAUGACUUUGCAUAAGUUGUAGCUCCGAAUUUCCCUGUUUUUGUGAUGUUUCGAUUUAGGAAUAACCAUACCAACUUGGUUUUUCCCGCCUCGCUGCAGCCCUGUUUUGGUGGUGUCUUGGACUAGGGACAUCCAUAUUUUUUUUGCUGCUUGUAAGGGCCGGAGUUAUUUAAAUUCAAUAUCAAAUAUUCUUGAAGCUGCGAUGAACCUGUGCCAUUCAUGGCAAAGAGGAAAGACAGUAUUUUUGUUAGCAUAAGUAAAUAUUUUCUACUCCUUUUGUUUGAGUGUAUGUGAUGCAUUUGUAUUGUUUAAUUUAGCUCAUUGUUUAUGUCAUAUGCUCUACCGCAAGAAUUUCUUCUAAAUUCGUUAUCCAUUCAACACUCAAGUGAUGUUCUAUACGAGGUUCAUUUUCUUGGAUAACCAUGUCUAUGCAUCAUGCUAUUGAGUUUUGAAUUGUGAUGCUCUAUUUUUUAUUACCAGAUUUCUAAUGUAAAUUGUUUGAUCUCGGUGCACAUAUAAAUCAGCUGCAAAAUAACUUCUUGCGGGCUAAAAAUAAUUUUUAUUUGGUUCAUCAAGUGUUCAACUUUUUAAAUUCAGUGCAAAAAAGAUUCUAAAAUUCUUGUUCCAUUUCUAUUAAGGCUCUCUUGGUGAACAUUUUAAUACUUAAUUAUGGUAGUAAUGCAGCACCAAAUUGAUGGUAAU